ACGAACGGCUGGCGGCGUGCUUAAACACAUGCAAGUCGAACGAGAGGAGAAGGAAGCUUGCUUCUUUCAAAUCUAGUGGACAAACGGGUGAGUAACACGUAAACAACCUGCCUUCAGGAUGGGGACAACAGACGGAAACGACUGCUAAUACCGAAUACGUUCCUUAGGUCGCAUGAUCUUAGGAAGAAAGGGUGGCCUCUACCUGUAAGCUAUCGCCUGAAGAGGGGUUUGCGUCUGAUUAGGUAGUUGGUGAGGUAACGGCUCACCAAGUCGACGAUCAGUAGCCGGACUGAGAGGUUGAACGGCCACAUUGGGACUGAGAUACGGCCCAGACUCCUACGGGAGGCAGCAGUGGGGAAUAUUGGGCAAUGGGCGAAAGCCUGACCCAGCAACGCCGCGUGAAGGAAGAAGGCUUUCGGGUUGUAAACUUCUUUUACCAGGGACGAAGGACGUGACGGUACCUGGAGAAAAAGCCACGGCUAACUACGUG
rnacentral:rRNA from 1 species